UAGCUCAGUGGUAGAGUACAUGCCUAGCAUGUAUGAGGUCCUGGGUUCAAUUCACAG
rnacentral:tRNA from 1 species